rnacentral:rRNA from 1 species
AGAGUUUGAUCAUGGCUCAGAACGAACGCUGGCGGCAGGCCUAACACAUGCAAGUCGAGCGCCCAGCAAUGGGAGCGGCGGACGGGUGAGUAACACGUGGGAAUAUGCCUUUCGGUUCGGAACAACUCAGGGAAACUUGAGCUAAUUCCGGAUACGCCCUUACGGGGAAAGAUUUAUCGCCGAAAGAUUAGCCCGCGUUGGAUUAGCUUGUUGGUGAGGUAACGGCUCACCAAGGCAACGAUCCAUAGCUGGUUUGAGAGAACGACCAGCCACACUGGGACUGAGACACGGCCCAGACUCCUACGGGAGGCAGCAGUGGGGAAUCUUGGACAAUGGAGGCAACUCUGAUCCAGCCAUGCCGCGUGAGUGAUGAAGGCCUUCGGGUUGUAAAACUCUUUUGCCAGGGAAGAUAAUGACUGUACCUGGAGAAUAAGCCCCGGCUAACUUCGUGCCAGCAGCCGCGGUAAUACGAAGGGGGCUAGCGUUGUUCGGAAUUACUGGGCGUAAAGCGCGCGCAGGCGGCUCUUCAAGUCAGGGGUGAAAGCCCAGAGCUCAACUCUGGAACUGCCUUUGAAACUGUAGAGCUUGAGUACGGGAGAGGUGAGUGGAAUUCCCAGUGUAGAGGUGAAAUUCGUAGAUAUUGGGAAGAACACCGGUGGCGAAGGCGGCUCACUGGCCCGUUUCUGACGCUCAGGCGCGACAGCGUGGGGAUCAAACAGGAUUAGAUACCCCAGUAGUCC